UCUUCUUUAAGACUCACAGAGGUAUGCUUNCGGUAGAGCUAGCGUCACAUUACCCUUUUUGGCGGGGACAGGGUCUACCAAGACUAUCAUGNGNACCCGUACUGAGAGGCCGAACGGACACCAUGAGACUGACGACUCGGACCNCACUCCUACGGGAGGCAGCAGUANGGACUUUUCGGCNAUGGAGGAAACUCUGACCGANNAACGCCUCGUGAACGAUGAAGUAUUUCGGUACGUAAAGUUCUUUUAUNAGGGAAGAAAAGAUGGGGNAAAAACCAUUAUGACGGUACCUAAUGAAUAAGCCCCGGCUAACUAUGUGCCAGCAGCCGCGGUAAUACAUAGGGGUCAAGCGUUAUCCGGAAUUAUUGGGCGUAAAGGGUGCGUAGGCGGUUAAAUAAGUUUAUGGUCUAAGUGCAAUGCUUAUCGUUGUGAUGCUAUAAAAUCUGUUUAGCUAGAGUUGGAUAGAGGCAAGUGGAAUUCCAUGUGUAGUGGUAAAAUGCGUAAAUAUAUGGAGGAACACCAGAAGCGAAGGCGGCUUGCUAGGUCUUAACUGACGCUGAGGCACAAAAGCGUGGGGAGCAAACAGGAUUAGAUACCCUGGUAGUCCACGCCCUAAACGAUGAGUACUAAACAUUGGGUAAAACCAGUGUUGAAGUUAACACAUUAAGAACUCCGCCUGAGUAGUACGUACGCAAGUAUGAAACUUAAAGGAAUUGACGGGACUCCGCACAAGCGGCGGAUCAUGUUGUUUAAUUCGAAGGUACCCGAAAAACCUCACCAGGUCUUGACAUGCUUUUGCAAAGCGGUAGAAAUAUCGUGGAGGUUAUCAGAAGCACAGGUGGUGCAUGGUNGUCGUCAGCUCGUGUCGUGAGAUGUUGGGUUAAGUCCCGCAACGAGCGCAACCCUUGUUGUUAAUUGCCAUCAUUAAGUUGGGGNCUUUAGCAAGACUNCCAGUGAUAAAUUGGAGGAAGGUGGGGGCGACGUCAAAUCAUCAUNCCCCUUAUGNCCUGGGCUACAAACGUGAUACAAUGGCUGUUNCAAAGGNCAGCUAAANGCGUAAGCUUUUGGCGAAUCUCAAAAAAGCAGUCUCAGUUCAGAGGUGAAGUCUGCAACCU
rnacentral:rRNA from 1 species